rnacentral:rRNA from 1 species
UACAGAGGGUGCGAGCGUUGUCCGGAAUCACUGGGCGUAAAGGGCGCGUAGGUGGCGGGGUAAGCGUGUGGUGAAAGUCCGGGGCUCAACCCCGGAUCGGCCAUGCGAACUGCCCGGCUGGAGCACGGUAGAGGCACAUGGAAUUCCGGGUGUAGCGGUGGAAUGCGUAGAGAUCGGGAAGAACACCAGUGGCGAAGGCGAUCUGCUGGGCCGUUGCUGACGCUGAGGCGCGACAGCGUGGGGAGCAAACAGG